rfam:Populus trichocarpa scaffold_14_contig_103, whole genome shotgun sequence.
UAAUCUGUCUGGGGUAGAUCCUCAUCUAGUUAUAGCAGUGUCAUGCCUAAUUGCUCGAAAUCAUUUAUUAUCGCAAGCCCAACUACAUCAUCGACACUCAUAAAAUAUAUUUGAAAGAAAAUUUUUUAUAAAAUUAUAGU